rnacentral:lncRNA from 1 species
GAACGGAUCCCUUGCCCCAUCAAGAAUAGAAAUUAAGAAUUGCUCACUGCUUAGCAUCAAUAUGUUUAUAUUUAUUGUUAUUUGAUUAUUAGUGAUGAUACGAUCCUUACCUUUGAUUGAAGGCUAAAUAGAAGCAAGCUGAAAUGAUCUGCUCUGAGAAGAGGCUCGUUGAAAAGAUGUACGCCAAAAAAAGCGCGGCCAAAUGAGUGGACACGAUUUUUUUUUCUCUUCCUUCAAGGUACCGGAUUUACAAGUACAUACUAUCGAUAAAUAGAAAAAUCAUCAAUAUCUCAAUAUCAAUAUCAUAUAGUUUCUAAAAAAAAACGAAAAUUAACUAUUUCUCUCAAUAUUAAUAUCUAAAAAGAUCAAAAACACCAAUGGAAGCUAUGGUGCAUCAUCAGUGACAAUCAUUUAAUUAAUAGGCUUUAUGCGGGUGAGUAUCGUUCUAAAAACUAGCAUAUCAUGUAAAAACUAAAAUAUUUUUUUCUUAUUCAAUAAAACUAGGUCAUGUUGUUGUGUUAUUUCAUCAAGUCGAAAUCGAAUAAUCGGAGGCAAUCUCUUGGAGCUCCGUCGUCGCCACCGUUACAAAUCCUUUGUUUUUUAUUCAUUCUCUUCGCCAUCUCUGCAAUUAUCAUCAUAUGGAAUUUAACAAUGCACUUAUUUGCGAAUGUAUACAUCUCAUUAUCUACUAUUCGCACAUACUUAAUUCGAGACUCUGAUAGUUUUUCCCAAUAAAUAGCUCCACGCUAUUCUUAAGUGAA